rnacentral:rRNA from 1 species
UUAUAAGAGACAGCAGUCGCCACGGUAAUACGGAGGGUGCAAGCGUUAAUCGGAAUUACUGGGCGUAAAGCGCACGCAGGCGGUCUGUCAAGUCAGAUGUGAAAUCCCCGGGCUUAACCUGGGAACUGCAUUUGAAACUGGCAGGCUAGAGUCUUGUAGAGGGGGGUAGAAUUCCAGGUGUAGCGGUGAAAUGCGUAGAGAUCUGGAGGAAUACCGGUGGCGAAGGCGGCCCCCUGGACAAAGACUGACGCUCAGGUGCGAAAGCGUGGGGAGCAAACAGGAUUAGAUACCCCGGUAGUCCCUGUCUCUUAUAC